GAGUUGAUGAGAAAGUGGGCAGAUCGGCUCUAUUCACAGCUGGGGGAAACUGACCACUUUAACAAAAGGAAGAAUGCUCAGGUAACAUCUAGCCCAAAGGUCGCUCAGGAAUGUUCAAAGCACUCAGGAGAGAGUGAAGUAUCCCAUCUUUGGGACACACAAGUCCCACUCAGCAUCCAUUGAAAGCGAAGCACCAAAAGCAUUGAGAUGGUGGCAGGACCUCAUUUUCCCUCUUCUCUAUUCCCUUACUCUUUCUCCAGCACAGAAGAAGCCUUGCUGAACACCUCCCGAGCAGAUGGCAUCAGAGAGAAGCUGGAUGUUUUUCCUCAAAUGGAUUAAGAAAGCAGAAGCUUCUGCCAGGGGUAACAAUGCCACUUGUGGGCACCACUGAUUUUUAAAGCACUCCACAUUCAUUAGCUCAUGGAGCCUUCGCAGCAUCCCUGGAAGGCAAGACGUUGGAAGAGCCUCCAAGACAAUGUUGAAAAGUUGGCCCUGCAGCCAGCUUCAGCAGG
rnacentral:lncRNA from 1 species